rnacentral:lncRNA from 1 species
UGGGAUUUUCUUUGCCCUCCUGAGAGGGGAGCUGGGAGACACCAAGUUCCGUCCAAUCAGUCAUGUAGAUAAAAAAUAGUGUGAUAUGAAGUUUGGCUGGUAGACAAACUUACUUAGUUCGUCACGGGUCAUCUGUUCUGACUGGAGGUCAAUUGCAAGUCUUUCAAGUCAUGGGUCACCCAGCACCUCAUAGUUAUGAUAUGACCAAAUUAGAUUUGCUCAAAAUUUUUUCCCAAAAGCACAAAAAAUGGACUCGAUUCGAACUCGAACCCAAUCCAACUCGGAUCCGGACCCGACCCGAACCCGAC